rnacentral:misc_RNA from 1 species
GAUGAAGAACGUAGCGAAAUGCGAUAAGUAAUGUGAAUUGCAGAAUUCAGUGAAUCAUCGAAUCUUUGAACGCACAUUGCGCCCGCCAGUAUUCUGGCGGGCAUGCCUGUUCGAGCGUCAUUACAACCCUCAGGCCCCCGGGCCUGGCGUUGGGGAUCGGCGGAGCCCCCCGUGGGCACACGCCGUCCCCCAAAUGCAGUGGCGGUCCCGCCGCAGCUUCCAUCGCGUAAUAGCUAACACCUCGCGACUGGAGAGCGGCGCGGCCACGCCGUAAAACACCCAACUCUUCUGCAGUUGACCUCGAAUCAGGUAGGAAUACCCGCUGAACUUAAGCAUAUCAAUAAGCGGAGGA